rnacentral:rRNA from 1 species
CCGUCAAUUCCUUUGAGUUUCAACCUUGCGGCCGUACUCCCCAGGCGGAGAACUUAUCGCGUUAGCUACGACACCGAUUUGCUAAGCAAACCAACGUCAAGUUCUCAUCGUUUACGGCGUGGACUACCAGGGUAUCUAAUCCUGUUUGCUACCCACGCUUUCGUGCCCCAGCGUCAAAACAGGCCCAGGAGGCUGCCUUCGCCAUCGGUGUUCUUCCAGAUAUCUACGCAUUUCACCGCUACACCUGGAGUUCCACCUCCCUCUACCGUUUUCUAGUCUGACAGUAUCGACCGCAAUUCCUAGGUUGAGCCCAGGGCUUUCACAAUCGACUUAUCAAACCGCCUACGCACGCUUUACGCCCAGUAAAUCCGAUUAACGCUAGCACCCUCUGUAUUACCGCGGCUGCUGGCACAGAGUUAGCCGGUGCUUAUUCUGUCGGUACCGUCAAGACUUCACGUAUUAAGUAAAGUUUUUUCUUCCCAACUUAAAGUGCUUUACAACCCGAAGGCCUUCUUCACACACGCGGUAUUGCUGGAUCAGGCUUUCGCCCAUUGUCCAAUAUUCCCCACUGCUGCCUCCCGUAGGAGUCCGGACCGUGUCUCAGUUCCGGUGUGACUGAUCAUCCUCUCAGACCAGUUACGGAUCGUAGCCUUGGUGAGCCAUUACCUCACCAACUAGCUAAUCCGACGUAGGUUCCUCCAAAAGCGAGAGGCCUUGCGGUCCCCCUCUUUGCUCUUGCGAGAUCAUGCGGUAUUAAUCCGGGUUUCCCCGGGUUAUCCCCCACUUAAGG